GUGUUUACUUUGGCAGCACAUAUACUAAAAUUAGACCAAUACAGAGAAGACCAACGUGAUGGCCCCUGAGCCAAGGCUGGCAUGCAUAUUCAUGGUGAAGUAUUUCAUUCUU
ensembl:snRNA U6 U6 spliceosomal RNA